UAUAUACGUGGAAAGGUCACGGUUGUAAAAAAGAACCUUUCAUCAAUGUUGAAAGCUUUGGGAGAAAUGGCCAUAGCGAAUCCUGUCUUCACUCACAGCCAGCUACCUUCCUUGGUGAAGUUUAUCAAUCCUCUACUACGGUCACCAAUAGUUGGUGAUGUGGCAUAUGGAACCCUGGUGAAGCUUUCAAAGUGCACUGCUACUCCACUUUGUAACUGGGCUCUUGAAAUUGCAACAGCCUUAAGGUUAAUUAUGUCAGAGGAUGUUGAUGUCUUAUGGGGUAAAAUUCCUUCUGCUGGUGAGGAGGUAUCAAAUGAAAAGCCUGGUCUUUUUGAGCGUGUAACGAACGGCUUAUCCAUCUCUUGCAAAACUGGGGCUCUCCCUGUGGAUUCAUUUACUUUUGUUUUCCCUGUAAUGGAGAGAAUAUUGUUAUCUCCCAAGAAGACCAAACUUCAUGAUGAUGUUCUCAAGAUAAUAUUCUUGCAUUUGGAUUCGUUUUUACCUCUACCUAGAGUUCAAAUGCUCUCAGUUCUUUAUCAUGUCCUGGGUGUUGUUCCUGCUUAUCAAGCAUCUAUUGGACCAGCAUUAAAUGAGUUAUGCCUUGGGCUGCAACCAGCUGAAGUGGCACCUGCUUUAUGUGGUAUUUAUGCUAAAGACAUCCAUGUUAGAAUGACUUGCUUAAAUGCUGUGAAAUGCAUUCCUGCUCUGGCUAGUCAUUCUGUCCCUCAAAGUAGUGAAAUUGCCACCCGCAUAUGGCUUGCAUUACAUGAUCCUGAAAAGUGUGUUGCUGAAGCUGCUGAAGACAUCUGGGAUCAUUACGGGUAUGACUUAGGAACAGAUUACUCUGGCAUUUUCAAAGCUCUUUCCCAUGCUAAUUAUAAUGUGCGAGUGGCUGGCGCUGAGGCCUUGGCUGCUGCUUUAGAUGAAAGUCCAGAUACGAUACAGGAAUGUCUUUCAACUUUAUUUUCUUUGUACAUCCGUGAUGUUGGUUCCGGUGAAGAUACCUUCGAUUGUGGAUGGGUAGGCAGACAAGGAAUAGCAUUGGCUCUACUUUCUGUGGCUGAUGUUCUUAGAGCAAAAGACCUUCCUGUUGUUAUGACAUUCCUGAUUUCAAGGGCACUGGCAGAUCCUAAUGCAGAUGUUAGAGGAAGAAUGAUCAAUGCUGGCAUAGUUAUUAUUGACAAACAUGGAAGAGAUAACGUCUCAUUGCUAUUCCCUAUUUUCG
rnacentral:misc_RNA from 1 species